UGUCCGUUCGGCGCGGCCCUACCCAUGCCAGUUUGCGCGGGAUUGUGCAGAGUAUCGCGUAGUCUAGCGGCAAACGGGUGAGUAACACGUGGGGAACCUCCCUCAAAAUGGGGAAUAUCUCCGAGAAAUCGGAGUCAAUACCGCAUAGGACCACAGUUUGGCAUCAAAUAGGGGUUAAAGCAGUAAUGCGUUUUGAGAUGGUCCUGCGGUCUAUCAGCUAGUUGGUGGGGUAAUGGCCUACCAAGGCUAUGACGGGUAUCCGGCCUGAAAGGGUGAACGGACACACUGGAACUGAGACACGGUCCAGACUCCUACGGGAGGCAGCAGUGGGGAAUUUUGGACAAUGGGGGAAACCCUGAUCCUGCGACGCCGCGUGGAGGACGAAGGUCUUCGGAUUGUAAACUCCUUUUAGAGGGGAAGAAAAAAAUGACGGUACCCUCAGAAAAAGCCACGGCUAACUACGUGCCAGCAGCCGCGGUAAUACGUAGGUGGCGAGCGUUACUCGGAAUUACUAGGCGUAAAGCGUAUGUAGGCGGUCAGAUAAGUCUUUAGUGAAAUUUCCUUGCUUAACAAGGAAGGGUCUAAGGAUACUGUUUGACUUGAGUGUUGAAGGGGGAGACGGAAUUCCUGGUGUAGCGGUGAAAUGCGUAGAUAUCAGGAGGAAUACCGAUGGCGAAAGCAGUCUCCUGGUCAAAUACUGACGCUAAUGUACGAAAGCUAGGGUAGCAAACAGGAUUAGAUACCCUGGUAGUCCUAGCUGUAAACGAUGUUCACUAGAUGUGGGAGGUAUCGACCCCUUCCGCGUCGACGCUAACGCAUUAAGUGAACCGCCUGGGGAGUACGGCCGCAAGGUUGAAACUCAAAGGAAUUGACGGGGGCCCGCACAAGCGGUGGAAUAUGUGGUUUAAUUCGACGCAACGCGAAAAACCUUACCCGGGCUUGAACUGCUAAUGGUAAAAGCCGGAAACGGUGAUGACCCGCAAGGGAGUUAGCAGAGGUGCUGCAUGGCUGUCGUCAGCUCGUGUCGUGAGAUGUUGGGUUAAGUCCCGCAACGAGCGCAACCCUUAUCCCAUGUUACCUGUAGCAAUGCAGGGUUUCUGAGGAAACUGCCAUUGAUAAAAUGGAGGAAGGUGGGGACGACGUCAAGUCAUCAUGGCCUUUAUGUCCAGGGCUACACACGUAUUACAAUGGUCGGUACAGAGGGUAGCAAUAUCGCAAGAUGGAGCAAAUCCUUAAAGCCGGCCCCAGUUCAGAUUGUGGGCUGCAAUUCGCCCACAUGAAGUAGGAAUCGCUAGUAAUCGCAGAUCAGCAGGCUGCGGUGAAUACGUUCCCGGGCCUUGUACACACCGCCCGUCACACCACGAAAGUCAGUCAUAACGGAAGUCGUUAAGCUAACCGCAAGGAGGCAGUCGCCUAAGUUAUGGUUGGUGAUUGGGGUGAAGUCCGGUUAAACCCAAAGGGUAAGCCCGGUAUCGGAAGAAACCGUUGCCCGAUAAGGAGUAAACAUACGUUUUCCAAAUUUAUUUUGAAGCGGGAUGUUAACGGUCGGUCCUUAAAUUCUACAUUUGGGUUUGUUGAUUUUGUGGGGCGUUUAUCUGUGUGUUAUUUGGUAUUGAUAUAUUUAAAAGUUCUAUAUCUUUUAGGGGGUGAGUAGUUGUUAACGGGCCUAUAGCUCAGUUAGUCAGAGCGCACCCCUGAUAAGGGUGAGGUCUGUGGUGCAACUCCACAUAGGCCCAUCAAUGUGUGAUUGAUUUUGUAGUAUAAAAAUUAUGUUGGUGUGUUGGAAAUGGGGAUAUAGCUCAGCUGGGAGAGCACCUGCUUUGCAAGCAGGAGGUCGUCGGUUCAAUCCCGACUAUCUCCAUAUAAUGAUUUUUCUUUUCGGUGCACUAUGCCUUAAUUUGCAAGGAUUUUAUAAAGAUGGAUAUUUCCAGCCGUUGCCCAAAUAUUAUUCUGACAAACUUUUUAUCUUAAUAAAUAAUUAUAAUGUAGUUUUGUUCAUUGAAAACUUAAUAGUAGUAAGGUAAGAUAAUGUGACCAAGCUACUAAGUGCAUAUAGUGAAUGCCUUGGCUAAGACUGUCGAUGAAGGACGUGGUAAGCUGCGUUAAGCGUCGGUGAGGUGCAAACAACCUUUGAUCCGGCGAUUUCCGAAUGGGGAACCCACCCAUGAAGUAAUCAGGUCCGAAAGGAAGGCAACCGAGGGAAGUGAAACAUCUCAGUACCUGGAGGAAAAGAAAUCAACCGAGUAUAGCGAAAGUAGUGGCGAGCGAAAUCAGUUGAAGCCUAAAACCGUUGUGUUUACGCAGCUGGGUUUGUAGGACCGCAUAAAUAGAGUUACCAAUCAAAAAGUUAAUUGAACGGUUUGGAAAAUCCGACCACAGAAGGUGAAAGUCCUGUAGAUGAAAACUUUUUGACUCGAAGCGGUAUCCUAAGUACCAUCGGACACGUGAAAUCUGGUGGGAAUCUGGGGGGACCACCCUCCAAGGCUAAAUACAAGUCUUAGACCGAUAGUGAACCAGUACCGUGAGGGAAAGGCGAAAAGAACCGCGGGAGCGGAGUGAAAUAGAACCUGAAACUGUAUGCAUACAAGCAGUUCAAGGCUUAUGUCGGAAGCGCAAGCAACUGAAAUGGCUGAGAGCGUGCCUGUUGAAGAAUGAUCCGGCGAGUUAUUGGUAGGUGCGAGGUUAAUUAUUAUGUUUACGCAUAUUAAGCAACCGUAGCGAAAGCAAGUCUGAAAGGGCGAGUAGUACCUAUCAUUAGACCCGAAGCCAAGUGAUCUAUGCCUGGACAGGGUGAAUUCUCUUUAACCGGAGAAGGAGGCCCGAAGCGUCGACCGUCGAAAAGGUCUUGCAUGAGCUGGGUAUAGGGGUGAAAGGCCAAUCUAACUUGGUGAUAGCUGGUUCUCUCCGAAAUAGUUUUUGGACUAGCCUUGAGAGUUAAACCAGAGAGGUAAAGCACUGAAUAGUUUAGCGGGUGUAACCCACUUUGCGAUGCUAAUCAAACUCUGAAUUCUCUGGCGUAUUUCUCAGGAGUCAGUAUGUGUGGGAUAAGCUUCACGUGCAAAAGGGAAACAGCCCAGACCAUCAAUUAAGGUCCCAAAAUAUAUGCUAAGUGGUAAAGGAUGUGGAAUUUCUUAGACAGCUAGGAGGUUGGCUUAGAAGCAGCCACCCUUUAAAGAGUGCGUAACAGCCCACUAGUCAAGCGAUUUUGCGCCGAAAACACCCGGGGCUCAAGCAUAUUACCGAAAUUAUGGAUUCUAUAGCAAUAGAUAGAGUGGUAGGAGAGCGUUCCUGUCGCGCUGAAGGUAUACCGUAAGGAGUGCUGGAGUGGCAGGAAGUGAGGAUGUCGGAAUAAGUAGCGAUAAAAGAGGUGAAAAUCCUCUUCGCCGAAAACCUAAGGUUUCCUUGAGUAAAGUUCGUCUGCUCAGGGUCAGUCGAUCCUAAGCCGAGGUCGAAAGACGUAGGCGAUGGGUAUCCGGUUAAUAUUCCGGAACUAUCUUUAGUGCGUAUAAUGUGUUUGGCUACGCUUUUCAGUAGGUCAGCAUCCGAUUGGAAGUGGAUGUUUCUCGCAAGAGGAGGACUUGGGGCAACCCGAGGAACUGACUGUAUGGGGAGCCAAGAAAAACCCAGUCACCUGUGCUAGAGGUAAACGUACCGCAAACGGACACACGUAGGUGGGGUGAAAAUCCUAAGGCGCGCGAGGUAACUUUCGUUUAGGAACUCGGCAUAUUUGCCCCGUAACUUCGGGAUAAGGGGUGCCUAUGGCAACAUAGGUUGCAGUGAAAUGUCCCUCGUGACUGUUUAACAAAAACACAGGACUCUGCUGAAAUCACAAGAUGAUGUAUAGGGUCUGACGCCUGCCCGGUGCCGGAAGGUCAAGGAUAGGAGUUAGUGCAAGCGAAGCUCUGAACUUAAGCCCCGUAAAACGGGCGGCCGUAGACUAUACCUAGUUUGUGG
rnacentral:rRNA from 1 species